AUUGAACGCUGGCGGCAGGCCUAACACAUGCAAGUCGAGCGAGCGGCGGACGGGAGAGUAAUGUAUGUGGCUCUGCGCGAGGGAGGGGGUUAACUACUGGAAACGGUGGCUAAAAACGCAUACUAGCGGAUGGACCCAUUUGGGUUUGGCUAGUAGGUGGGGUAAAGGCUCACCUCGUCGACGAUCUCUAGCUGGUCUGAGAGGAUUAGCAGCCACACUGGAACUGAGACACGGCCCAGACUCCUACGGGAGGCAGCAGUGGGGAAUAUUGCACAAUGGGCGCAAGCCUGAUGCAGCCAUGCCGCGUGUGUGAAGAAGGCCUUAGGGUUGUAAAGUACUUUCAGCGGGGAGGCGUUACCCGCAGAAGAAGCACCGGCUAACUCCGUGCCAGCAGCCGCGGUAAUUC
rnacentral:rRNA from 1 species